rnacentral:rRNA from 1 species
GACGAACGCUGGCGGCGUGCCUAAUACAUGCAAGUCGAACGCAGUGGGGAUGGGUGAGUAACACGUGGGUAACCUCCCAUCAGACGGGAUAACCCUUGGAAACAGGUGCUAAACCGAUAUUGAUGUAUGGACCCGCGGUGCAUUCGCUAGUUGGUGGGGUAACGGCUCACCAAGGCCACGAUGCAUAGCCGACCUGAGAGGGUGAUCGGCCACACGGGGACUGAGACACGGCCCAGACUCCUACGGGAGGCAGCAGUAGGGAAUCUUCGGCAAUGGACGAAAGUCUGACCGAGCAACGCCGCGUGAAUGAAGAAGGUUUUCGGAUCGUAAAGCUCUGUUGUUAGAGAAGCGGUAUCUAACCAGAAAGCCACGGCUAACUACGUGCCAGCCGCCGCGGUAAUUC